GUUCCUUCACUCCACACUUACACCUUAUAAUUAUAAGAACAACCACAGGAGGAGAAGGAAGUUUUUCUUUCAUAUUUUCUCUGUGAAAGUAACCAUCUUUUAUCUUUCUUGUCUUCUAUCUUGCUCUCUCUCUGUGGAACAGAAGAAAAAUGGCGGUGGGGAAAGAGGAGGUGGAGAUAGUGAAGCCAAGAAAGGACAAGAGAAACUACAGGAGGAUAGUUCUCAAGAAUUCCCUUCAGGUCCUUCUUAUCAACGAUGCUGAGACGGAUAAGGAAAAAUUUCUCCUCCUUUUAAAUCUUAAAAGUCUUGCUUAUCGAAUUCAAUAUAUCUAACUACUCAAUUCUUAAUCUAAUCCCCUUUCAGUGUGCUGUUUCUAUGAAUGUCAGUGUUGGCUCCUUCAGCGACCCUGUUGGCCUCGAAGGCCUUGCCCAUUUUCUGGAGCAUAUGCUAUUUUAUGCGAGUGAGAAAUAUCCAUCGGAGCACGGAGAGUAGAUUUCGGUUUAAAUCGAAAAAUCGAACCGAACCAAGUUAAUUCGGUUCAAUCGAUUCGAUUUUAAAAUUCAAUAGCAUGGAGGCAGCGCUAAUGCUUUUACAUCUUCUGAGCACACCAAUUACUAUUUUGAUGUCAACAAUGAUUAUUUUGAAGAUGCUUUGGAUAGAUAAAUCCAUGUUUCCUUUUGCUGAUAGUUUGUUAUUUUCAUCGGUAUCCUCAUAAGGUUUGUGAGCUUGGUUUUUUGCAUGUGAUGUACUAUUCAGAUUUGCACAGUUCUUUAUUAAACCAUUGAUGUCAGCUGAUGCAACAACGAAAGAGAUUAAGGUUGUCGAUUCUGGUUAGGUUUUAUGUUCAGUAGCCACUCUCUUUUAUCUUUAUAAAAUGUUUUAAUUCCCUAAUGUUGUACCUGUCUUAUUGAGGAUAUUUGCAGAUAGUAUGUGCGUGUAUAAGUCUGUCUGCAGAGGAUAUUUUUGUCUGUGUACAGAGAUUAAAAUUACAGAGCUUUGUGCUGGAUAUUUCUAUUGUGACUUUCAUCUGCUUUCCCCCUUUUGUGCCCUUCUUUAUUUUUCCAUAUUUACUUUAGCCGGUCCCAAGCCCGGAUAAAGGAAGAGGGUUGCAGUAGGUGACAACCAGCGUAAAAAUUUCGUCACACCCUAUGAUAUGGAUUCAAAUGAUAUAAACGUUGGGGCGUCCUUUACUAACGACGCGCUACAUCGGAGCCCGGGUGUAGUGAGAAAUAUGCAAGGGUGUAGGGCGUUCACCAAAAGCGACGCACCAUGCCGACGCCCGAGUGUGGUGUUAAGUGAGCCCGUUCCCACAUCAUGGACGUGUGUGGGUAAAGAAGUUAGUCCAUAGGACAGAUAGUAGAAUAAAUAGUGGCACAGA